AAUCAAUCAGGGAGGACGGGCACAAAGGGGAUGGCCAGCUUCGAAGUAGUCACCUUCGAGUCGAGAUCGACACUUCCGUGCCUUUUCUUGGCAUCAAUAGGAAGCGGCUGUCUAUGCUGCCUUCGACAGCGUUAACCUACUUCUCCCUCUACGGCCCUGUAAUUCCCAGCAGAUCCCCGAUCCACGUAGCAACGAUGCGCGCAGCCCCUUUUGUACUUCCUAGGAAACCAAACAGAUCAUGAACAGCUACCUCCGAGGAAGCUCAAAUUCUUUGGCACGGCCGGCCUGGACAAAGAAAAGCUGACAACAAAACGCACUUCGCAGCCUUUUAAUUUCUUACAUAGAUACAUAUCUUACUUUAACGAAAUUUGGGAGGCUCUCCGCCACAGCAGAAAGCCUUCUAGACAAAUACAAAAAGAGCUGAAGUCACUGAGAUGGAAGGGCGCGCGGCAUUCACCCACGGAGAACAAAACACGUUUCAGGGCAAGGAUUUUCUCUACGUGAUGGAAGAGUGUCCCAUCCACAUAAAUCAAUGCUCAGGAUGUCAUGAACAGGAUCCCACAAGUCAAAUCUGUGUACAGCUGACCAAGUCAUGCUCUCAUAUGUGCACUCCUCUA